AUUAAUGUCCCAGCAAGAGACUUAUCAGCAGAUCGAAAACGUUCUUCCACAGUUUUCAAUAAUGCUUGAGCACUGUCACAUUCAGGAAGCGUUGACUUGAUAUUGUUCGCUAUACUCAUCCGCAUAAACAUAAUGCUCAAUCUAUUCGAUCUUUUUCAAGUUUUAUAAAAAGAUAUUUCUUCCGAGCUGCUCAAAUCAGUAAUGUCAGCCGGUUUCUCAGAUCGGAGUGCUAAAUCAAGAUCCAGAACACCUAGGUGAAACUGGACUUGUUCAUUCCACUCUGAGAAAUUAGUUCCAUUAAAGAUCGUAACAGAUGAAGCUUGCGAAUGAA
rnacentral:lncRNA from 1 species